rnacentral:misc_RNA from 1 species
CAGAGUUUUCUAACUCCCAAACCCUUUGUGAACUUACCAUUCUGUUGCCUCGGCGGGCCUCUGGGAUUCGUCCCAUGUCCGCCGGCGGCCCCUAUAAACUCUGUUACUUAUAAGCAAUCUGAGCGUUUUCCAAAAAUAAAGUUA